rnacentral:rRNA from 1 species
AACGAACGCUGGCGGCGCGCUUAACACAUGCAAGUCGAACGAGAAGGCGUAGCAAUACGCUUGUACAGUGGCGAACGGGUGGGAAUACAUGGGUGACCUACCCUCGAGGUGGGGAUAACCCGCCGAAAGGCGGGCUAAUACCGCGUACGCUUCCGAUCUCGCGGGAUUGGAAAGGAAAGCUGUCCCGUUGGGGAUGGCGCUCAAGGAUGGGCUCAUGUCCUAUCAGCUUUGGGUAGGGUAACGGCCUACCAAGGCAUCGACGGGUAGCUGGUCUGAGAGGACGAUCAGCCACACUGGCACUGCGACACGGGCCAGACUCCUACGGGAGGCAGCAGUGAGGAAUAUUGCGCAAUGGGCGAAAGCCUGACGCAGCGACGCCGCG